GGGGGAAUUUUCCGCAAUGGGCCGAUUUAGCCUGACGGAGCAAUGGCCGCGUGAAGGAUGACGGCCUACGGGUUGUAAACUUCUUUUCUUAGAGAAGAUAAUGACGGUAUCUAAGGAAUAAGCAUCGGCUAACCCUGUGCCAGCAGCCGCGGUAAUACAGGGGAUGCAAGCGUUAUCCGGAAUGAUUGGGCGUAAAGGGUCUGUCACGGCGGUUUAAAAAGUCUAUUGUUAAAACCCAGAGCUUAACUCUGGAUCGGCAAUGGAAACUUUGAAACUAGAGUUCGGUUGAGGUAGAUGGAAUUACCGGUGUAACGGUGAAAUGUGCAGAUAUCGGUAAGAACACCAACGGCGAAAGCAAUCUACUGGGCCAGUAACUGACGCUCAAGGACGAAAGCUAGGGGAGCGAAUAGGAUUAGAUACCCUAGUAGUCCUAGCUGUAAACGAUGGAAACUAAGUAUUGAGCGUAAGCGCAGUAUUAAAGCUAACGCGUUAAGUUUCCC
rnacentral:rRNA from 1 species